GACUAACGCUGGCGGCGUGCUUACACAUGCAAGUCGAACGGAUAUACUGUUUUAGGAUAGUAUAUUAGUGGCGAACGGGUGAGUAACGCGUGAGCAACCUACCUUUUUGAGGGGGAUAACACCCGGAAACGGGUGCUAAUACCGCAUAAGACCACACUGCCGCAUGGCAGAGAGGUCAAAGGAGCAAUCCGCAGAAGGAGGGGCUCGCGUCCCAUUAGAUAGUUGGUGAGGUAACGGCUCACCAAGUCAGCGAUGGGUAGCCGAGCUGAGAGGCUGAACGGCCACACUGGAACUGAGACACGGUCCAGACUCCUACGGGAGGCAGCAGUGGGGAAUAUUGGGCAAUGGGGGAAACCCUGACCCAGCAACGCCGCGUGAAGGAAGAAGGUUUUCGGAUCGUAAACUUCUAUCCUAGGUGAAGAUAAUGACGGUAGCCUAGAAGGAAGCCCCGGCUAACUACGUGCCAGCAGCCGCGGUAAUACGUAGGGGGCAAGCGUUGUCCGGAAUGAUUGGGCGUAAAGGGCGCGUAGGCGGCCAACUAAGUCUGAAGUGAAAGUCCUGCUUUUAAGGUGGGAAUUGCUUUGGAAACUGGAUGGCUUGAGUGCAGGAGAGGUUAGUGGAAUUCCCGGUGUAGCGGUGAAAUGCGUAGAGAUCGGGAGGAACACCAGUGGCGAAGGCGACUAACUGGACUGUAACUGACGCUGAGGCGCGAAAGUGUGGGGAGCAAACAGGAUUAGAUACCCCUGGUAGUCCACACUGUAAACGAUGAAUGCUACGUGUAGGGGUAUCGACCCCUUCUGUGCCGGAGUAAACACAAUAAGCAUUCCGCCCUGGGGAGUCCGGCCGCAAGGUUG
rnacentral:rRNA from 1 species